rnacentral:lncRNA from 1 species
UAAGACCGCAGAUAGUCUUGUGAAUUUAGAGCAUCCAUUAUAAAGAGGUGUCCCCGCAUCAUUUUUCAGCCUCUCAAACAUUUGAGGACAAUCACGAAGAUCAUCUUCAACCGCCUUCGCCAUUUCCUCAACACGGUCACCAUCACAUGCAUCUUCCUCUGCUCCAAAUGAGGCAGAUCUCACACUAUCUGCUGCAUCAC